rnacentral:rRNA from 1 species
GUUGAACGCUGGCGGCAGGCUUAACACAUGCAAGUCGAGCGAGCGGCGGACGGGUGAGUAAUGUCAGGUAAACUUCCUGAUGGAGGGGGAUAAGUACUGGAAACGUUAGCUAAUACCGCAUCCCAUCAGAUGUUCCCAGAUGGGAUUAGUUAGUAGGUGGGGUAAUGGCUCACCAAGGCGACGAUCCCUAGCUGGUCUGAGAGGAUGACCGGCCACACUGGAACUGAGACCCGGUCCAGACUCCUACGGGAGGCAGCAGUGGGGAAUAUUGCACAAUGGGCGAAAGCCUGAUGCAUACAAGCCGCGGGAGUGAGGAAGGCCUUCGGGUGGUAAAGCACUUUCAUCGGGGAGGCGGUACCCGAAGAGAAAGCAACGGCUAACUCCGUGCCAGCCGCCGCGGUAAUUC